GCCCUCCACUUUGGGAUAACUCCGGGAAACCGGGGCUAAUACCGAAUAUUGAAGCAUAAGCGGCAUCGCUGAGCUUUGAAAGAAUUUCGGUGGAGGAUGACUUCGCGGCCUAUCAGCUUGUUGGUGAGGUAAUGGCUCACCAAGGCUACGACGGGUAUCCGGCCUGAGAGGGCGACCGGACACACUGGGACUGAGACACGGCCCAGACUCCUACGGGAGGCAGCAGUGGGGAAUAUUGGGCAAUGGACGCAAGUCUGACCCAGCGACGCCGCGUGAGGGAUGAAGGCCUUCGGGUUGUAAACCUCUUUCAGUAGGGAAGAAGCGAAAGUGACGGUACCUACAAAAGAAGCACCGGCUAACUAUGUGCCAGCAGCCGCGGUAAUACAUAGGGUGCAAGCGUUGUCCGGAUUUAUUGGGCGUAAAGAACUCGUAGGUGGUUUGUUACGUCGGAUGUGAAACUCUGGGGCUCAACCCCAGACCUGCAUCCGAUACGGGCAGACUAGAGUGUGGUAGGGGAGACUGGAAUUCCUGGUGUAGCGGUGGAAUGCGCAGAUAUCAGGAGGAACACCAAUGGCGAAGGCAGGUCUCUGGGCCAUUACUGACACUGAGGAGUGAAAGUGUGGGGAGCGAACAGGAUUAGAUACCCUGGUAGUCCACACCGUAAACGAUGGACGCUAGUUGUGGGGACCUUCCACGGUUUCUGCGACGCAGCUAACGCAUUAAGCGUCCCGCCUGGGGAGUACGAUCGCAAGAUUAAAACUCAAAGGAAUUGACGGGGCCCCGCACAAGCAGCGGAGCAUGCGGCUUAAUUCGACGCAACGCGAAGAACCUUACCAAGGCUUGACAUAUAGGGAAAAGCAGCAGAGAUGUUGUGUCCGCAAGGGCCCUAUACAGGUGGUGCAUGGUUGUCGUCAGCUCGUGUCGUGAGAUGUUGGGUUAAGUCCCGCAACGAGCGCAACCCUCAUUCUGUGUUGCCAGCAUUUAGUUGGGGACUCACAGGAGACUGCCGUGGUUAACACGGAGGAAGGUGGGGAUGACGUCAAAUCAUCAUGCCCCUUAUGUCUUGGGCUGCACGCAUGCUACAAUGGCUGGUACAAACGGCUGCAAUACCGCAAGGUUGAGCGAAUCCGAAAAAGCCAGUCUCAGUUCGGAUUGGGGUUUGCAACUCGACCCCAUGAAGUC
rnacentral:rRNA from 1 species